rnacentral:rRNA from 1 species
UACGAAGGGGGCUAGCGUUGCUCGGAAUCACUGGGCGUAAAGCGCACGUAGGCGGAUUGCUAAGUCAGGGGUGAAAUCCUGGAGCUCAACUCCAGAACUGCUUUUGAUACUGGCGAUCUCGAGUCCGGGAGAGGUGAGUGGAACUGCGAGUGUAGAGGUGAAAUUCGUAGAUAUUCGCAAGAACACCAGUGGCGAAGGCGGCUCACUGGCCCGGUACUGACGCUGAGGUGCGAAAGCGUGGGGAGCAAACAGG